rnacentral:tRNA from 1 species
GUACUGGUAGGUUAUUUAAACUGACAAAUUGUGGUUUUGUUGAUUACACCCUUUUUUUGUAUU